AUUCAAUUCCAGAAUUUCAUUUAAGCGGGACGAGACACCUGAUUUGCGCCCUUUUUCAUCUUAAUUUCAUCUUUACAAAAGAGAGAGAAAUUUUGCCCUCCACUUUUGCUGCCUCACCACCACCACAAUAGAGAGAGAAAUUUUGCUUGAGCUUGCUGGUGUAAAUCUUUCUGCGCUAUUACCAUCUACAGCCAAGGAAUGAGCCAGGUUUGAUUGUUGAUCAACAAUCCGGAGAUGGGGAAACAGUGUUACAUAAGACUCUUGAUUACGGUUUGCUGACAACUAGUGGAUAGGUUUUUUGUAGUGAUAGGCUUACAAUGUUGCUGACCGAUUCACAGAUUAUCGAGACAGGAAGUUACACUUUCCUGAACAUGAAACCACUACAACACCAUGAACAGACCAUCAAAGCUACUUAUACGUAAGAAGCAUGAUGGAUUCAUAGGAGUCUGGUCAGUGGAGGUGGCAAAUGGAUGGGUUGGGUAUUUGAUCCAUUUCUUUUAACAUGUGGCCGUAAAUAUAGGAUUUUCUGAGCGAACUAGACUAAUGGGUCGAAAUUGCCACGUCUAUAAUGCUGCUACAUGAUGUUCGGAUAAACUGAGGUCAUCUGUAGUUUUGACUCAAGUUUCACAAAUUUGGUUCCAAAGACGGUGACACAUGAGAACAAGAGGAAAUCCUUAAGAAGGAAAGUAGCAAUGUGAUGAGUGAGUUGCUUCCAUUUAGGAUGGUUGAUUACAUGUUCUUUUGCAAUUGUAUGUAGCCAAAAGAGUUUAAUCUGACCAGGCGAUCAUAAUGUUUUUCGCCUCUCUAAACUUCUAUAUUACAAUGUGAGGGAUGACUAUAUUACGAUAGUUCUUUUUUAAUCAAACGUUUUCAUUUUAUA